GAGAUGUUAGGCACUUGCAGAGACUCAGUCCACUACCCUGGGCAGCUUUUCCAAGAUGUAGGGACUGGCUUGCCAUAAUUCAUAGCUUCUGCUGUCCCUUGCUACAUACCUGAUUGCAACAUCUGCUUAUAGGCUCAAAAUAAAGGGAUGGAGAAAAAUCGACCAAGCAAAUGGAAAACAGAAAAGAGCAACUUGCUUCCUGAAAAUUCAUGGUUUAAGAUAACCAGGACCUUUAUGAUAGACGGUGGUGGAUUUGGAAACAGGUCUGAUCCCUUGGGAUGGAGGAAGCCCAAUUCAUGAAGUAGAGAACUCUUUCAAGGAGAGAUUGGAUUUCCUAUUAACAUGAAAAGCAGUAUGUUUCAGGCUUUGUAUUAAGUAUCAAAGAUCCCAUGACAAGACAGCUCCCCUGCUUGCUGGGAGGACGUGGUGAGGACAGGGUACAUCUGAAACCUCUGGUGUGUCUGGCAGAGUUGCAAACGACUAGAUUCCAUCCAAGAUCAAAUGAAUCAGAAUCUGUGAUGGCCAAAUAGGAACAGUUCUCAUCUGUAGCUUCAAGCUUGAUCGACGCAGAAGACAGUUGAUUUCUGCAUUUCCAACUGAGGUACCUGGUUCAUCUCACUGAGACUGGUCGGAAAGUGGGUGCAGCCCAUGGAAGCUUCCACUGGUGAUACCCAGGAAAACAGGGUCUAGAGUGGACCUCCAGCAAACUCCAACAGACCUGCAGCUGAGGGACCUGACUGUUAGAAGGAAAACUAACAAACAGAAAGGAAUAGUAUCAACAUCAACAAAAAGGAUAUCCACAACAAAACCCAUCUGUAGGUCACAAUCAUCAAAGUCCAAAGGUAGAUACAACAACAAAGAUGGGGAGAAACUAGAGCAGAAAAGCUGAAAACUCUAAAAACCAGAAUGCCCCUUCUCCUCCAAAGGAUCGCAGCUCCCUGCCAGCAAUGGAACAAAGCAGGACAGAGAAUGACUUUGAUGAGUUGACAGAAGUAGGCCUCAGAAAGUCGGUAAUAACAAACUUCUCCGAGCUAAAGGAAGAUGUUUGAACCCAUCACAAGGAAGCUAAAAAACUUGAAAAAAGAUUAGAUGAAUGGCUAACUAGAAUAAACAGUGUAGAGAAGACCUUAAAUGAUGUGAUGGAGCUGAAAACCAUGGCAAAAGAACUAUGUGAUGCAUGCACAAUCUUCAGUAGCCAAUUCGAUCAAGUGGAAAAAAGGAUAUCAGUGAUUGAAGAUCAGAUUAAUGAAAUGAAGUGAGAAGAAAAAUUUAGAGAAAAAAGAGUGAAAAGAAAUGAACAAAGCCUCCAAGAAAUAUGGGAAUAUGUGAAAAGAACAAAUCUAUGUUUGAUUGGUGUACCUGAAAGUGACAGGGAGAAUGGAACCAAGUUGGAAAACACUCUUCAGGAUAUUAUCCAGGACACCUUCCCCAACCUAGCAAGGCAGGCCAAUAUUCAAAUUCAGGAAAUACAGAGAUCACCUCAAACAUACUCCCUGAGAAGAGCAACCCCAAGACACAUAAAUGUCAGAUUCACCAAGGUUGAAAUUAGGAAAAAAUGCUAAGGGCAGCCAGAGAGAAAGGUUAGGUUACCCACAAAGGGAAUCCCAUCAGACUAACAGUGGAUCUCUCGGCAGAAACCCUACAAGCCAGAAGACAGUGGGGGCCAGUAUUCAACAUUCUUAAAGAAAAGAAUUUUCAACCCAGAAUUUCAUAUCCAGCCAAACUAAGCUUCAUAAGUGAAGGAUAAAUAAAAUACUUUACAGACAAGCAAACACUGAGAGAUUUUGUCACCACCAGGCCUGCCUUACAAGAGCUCCUGAAGGAAGCACUAAACAUGGAAAGGAACAACUGGUACCAGCCACUGCAAAAACAUGCCAAAUUGUAAAGACCAUCAAGGCUAAGAAGAAACUGCAUCAACUAAUGGGCAAAAUAUCAUAAUAACAGGAUCAACUUCACACAUAACAAUAUUAACCUUAAACGUAAAAGGGCUAAAUGCCCCAAUUAAAAGACACAGACUGGCAAAUUGGAUAAAGAAUCAAGACCCAUCAGUGUGCUGUAUUCAGGAGACCCAUCUCACUUGCAGAGACACACAUAGGCUCAAAAUAAAGGGAUGGAGGAAGAUCUACCAAGCAAACGGAAAGCAAAAAAAAAAAAGCAGGGGUUGCCAUCCUCCUCUCUGAUAAAAUAGACUUCAAACCAACAAAGAUCAAAAGAGACAAAGAAGGCCAUUACAUAAUGGUAAAGGGAUCAAUUCAGCAAGAAGAGCUAACUAUACUAAAUAUAUUUGCACCCAAUACAGGAGCACUCAGAUUCAUAAAGCAAGUCCUGAGAGACCUACAAAGAGACUUAGACUCCCACACAAUAAUAAUGGGAGAUUUUAACACCCCACUAUCAAUAUUAGACAGAUCAAUGAGACAGCAGAUUAACAAGGAUAUCCAGGACUUGAACUCAGCUCUGCACCAAAGAGACCUGAUAGACAUCUACAGAACUCUCCACCCCAAAUCAACAGAAAAUACAUUCUUCUCAGCACCACAUCACACUUAUUCCAAAAUUGACCACAUAGAUGGAAGUAAAGCACUCUUCAGCAAAUGUAAAAGAAUAGAAAUCAUAACAAACUGUCUCUCAGACCACAGUGCAAUCAAAUUAGAACUCAAGAUUAAGAAACUCACUCAAAACCGCAAACUACAUGGAAACUGAACAACCUGCUCCUGAAUGACUACUGGGUAAAUAACGAAAUGAAGGCAGAAAUAAAGAUGUUCUUUGAAACCAAUGAGAACAAAGACACAAUGUACCAGAAUCUCUCUGACACAUUCAAAGCAGUAUGUAGAGGGAAAUUUAUAGCACUAAACGCCCACAAGAGAAAGUAGGAAAGAUCUAAAAUGAACACCCUAACAUCACAAUUAAAAGAACUAGAGAAGCAAGAAGAAACAAAUUCAAAAGCUAGCAGAAGGCAAGAAAUAAUUAAGAUCAGAGCAGAACUGAAGGAGAUAGAGACACAAAAAACCCUUCAAAAAAUUAAUGAAUCCAGGAGCUGGUUUUCUGAAAUGGUCAACAAAAUUGAUAGAUGGCUCUCAAGACUAAUAAGAAAAGAGAGAAGAAUCAAAUAGAUGCAAUAAAAAAUGAUAAAGAGGAUAUCACCACCGAUCCCACAGAAAUACAAAGUACCAUCAGAGAAUACUAUAAACACCUCUAUGCAAAUAAACUAGAAAAUCUAGAAAAAAUGGAUAAAUUCCUGCACACCUACACCUUCCCAAGACUAAACCAGGAAGAAGUUGAAUCCCUGAAUAGACCAAUAACAGGCUCUGAAAUUGAGGCAAUAAUUAAUAGCCUACCAACCAAAAAACGUCCCGGACCAGAUGGAUUCACAGCCUAAUUCUACCAGAGGUACAAACAGGAGCUGGUACCAUUCCUUCUGAAACUAUUCCAAUCAAUAGAAGAAGAGGGAAUCCUCCCUAACUCAUUUUAUGAGGCCAGCAUCAUCCUGAUACCAAAGCCUAGCAGAGACACAACAAAAAAAGAGAAUUUUAGACCAAUAUCCCUGAUGGACAUCUAUGUGAAAAUCCUCAGUAAAAUACUGGUGAACCAAAUCCAGCAACACAUCAAAAAGCUUAUCCACCAAGAUCAAGUCAGCUUUACCCUGCGAUGCAAAGCUGGUUCAACAUAUGCAAAUCAGUAAAUGUAAUCCAUCACAUAAACAGAACCAAUGACAAAAACCACAGGAUUAUCUCGCAGAAAAGGCCUUCAACAAAAUUUAACAGCCCAUCAUGUUAAAAACUCUCAAAAAACUGGGUAUUGAUGGAACAUAUCUCAAAAUAAUAAGAGCUAUUUAUGACAAACCCACAGCCAGCAUCAUACUGAAUGGGCAAAAACAGGAAGGAUUCUUUUUGAAAACUGGCACAAGACAGGGAUGCCCUCUCUCACCACUUCUAUUCAACACAGUGUUGGAAGUUCUGGCCAGGGCAAUUAGGCAAGAGAAAGAAAUAAAGGAUAUUCAAUUAGGAAAAGGGGAAGUCAAAUUGUCCCUGUUUGCAGAUGACAUGAUUGUAUAUUUAGAAAACCCCAUCGUCUCAGCCCAAAAUCUCCGUAAGCUGAUAAGCAACUUCAGCAAAGUCUCAGGAUGUAAAAUCAAUAUGCAAAAAUCUCAAGCCUUCUUAUACACCAAUAACAGACAAACAGAGAGCCAAAUCAUGAGUGAACUCCCAUUCACAAUUGCUACAAAGAGAACAAAAUACCUAGGAAUCCAACUUACAAGGGAUGUGAAGGACCUCUUCAAGGAGAACUACAAACCACUGGUCAACAAAAUAAAAGAGAACACAAACAAAUGGAAGAACAUUCCAUGCUCAUGGAUAGGAAGAAUCAAUAUUGUGAAAAUGGCCAUACUGCCCAAGGUAAUUUAUAGAUUCAAUGCCAUCCCCAUCAAGCUACCAAUGACUUUCUUCACAGAAUUGGAAAAAACCUACUUUAAAGUUCAUAUGGAACCAAAAAAAAAAAAAAGCCUUCAUUGCCAAGAUAAUCCUAAGCCAAAAGAACAAAGCUGGAGGCAUCAUGCUACCUGACUUCAAACUAUACUACAAGGCGACAGUAACCAAAACAGCAUGGUACUGGUACCAAAACAGAUAACUAGACCAAUGGAACAGAACAGAGGCCUCAGAAAUAACACCACACAUCUACAACCAGCUGAUCUUUGACAAACCUGAGAAAAACAAGAAAUGGGGAAAGGAUUCCCUAUUUAAUAAAUGGUGCUGGGAAAACUGGCUAGCCAUAUGUAGAAAGAUGAGACUGGAUCCCUUCCUCACACCUUAUACAAAAAUUAAUUCAAGAUGGAUUAAAGACUUAAAUGUUAGACCUAAAACCAUGAAAACCCUAGGAGAAAACCUAGGCAAUACCAUUCAGGCCAUAGGCAUUGGUAAGGACUUCAGGACUAAAACACCAAAAGCAGUGGCAACAAAAGCCUAAAUAGACAAAUGGGAUCUAAUUAAACUAAAGAGCUUCUACACAGAAAAAGAAACUACCAUCAGAGUGAACAGGCAACUUACAGAAUGGGAGAAAAUUUUUGCAAUCUACCCAUCUGACAAAGGGCUAAUAUCCAGAAUCUACAAAAAACUUAAACAAAUUUAUGAGAAAAAAAUCAAACAACCCCAUCAAAAAGUGGGCAAAGGAUUUGAAUGGACACUUUUCAAAAGAAGACAUUUAUGCAGCCAACAGACACAUGAAAAAAUGCUCAUCAUUGGUUAUCAGAGAAAUGCAAAUCAAAACCACAAUGAGAUACCAUCUCACACCAGUUAGAAUGGUGAUCUUUAAAGUCAGGAAACAACAGGUGCUGGAGAGGAUGUGGAGUAACAGAAAUGCUUUUACACUGUUGGUGAGAAUAUAAACUAGUUCAACCAUUGUGUAAGACAGUGUGGUGAUUCCUCAAGGAUCUAGAAUUAGAAAUACCAUUUGACCCAGCCAUCCCAUUACUGGGUAAAUACCCAGAUGAUUAUAAAUCAUUCUACUAUAAAGACACAUGCACACGUAUGUUUAUUGCAGCACUAUUCACAAUAGCAGACUUGGAACCAACCCAAACGUCCAUCAGUGAUAGAAUGGAUUAAGAAAAUGUGGCACAUAUACACCAUGAAAUACUAUGCAGCCAUAAAAAAGGAAGAGUUCAUGUCCUUUGUAGCGACAUGGAUGAAGCUGGAAACCAUCAUUCUGAGCAAACUAUCGCAAGGAUAGAAAACCAAACACUGCAUGUUCUCACUCACAGGUGGGAACUGAACAAUGAGAACGCUUGGACACAGGGUGGGAAACAUCACAUACUGGGGCUUGUCAUGGGGUGGGGCAAUGGGAGAGGGAUAGCAUUGGGAGAAAUACCUAAUGUAAAUGACGAGUUAAUGGGUGCAGCAAACCAACCUGGCACAUGUAUACAUAUGUAACAAACCUGCACGUUGUGCACAUGUACCCUAGAACUUAACGUACAAUUAAAAAAAUAAAACCAAAAAUAAAAUUUAAAAAAGCUGAGCUUUAAUUGUCUUUCAAUCUAAAUGCAAAUUUUAUUUUAGUCAAUUCCAUGUUGGCAAUCUGAUUUUUAUUUUUAAAGUUCAAAAGUGUUCUUGUUUUAUUUGCAAGGCAUUUAUAGAACUUCCCUGCUUCUCUGAAAAUGCAACCCUCCUCCUGUCACUUGGCUUAAUGCUCCACACAUGUUUUCUCACUUAAACUUUGCCUCAUUUGGCUGUGUGUGUGUGUGUGUGUGUGUGUGUGUGUGUGUCUUAAAUGCAGCCUUUUAAAACCAUCUCUAAUGGAAAAAUGCAGCUGUGAGCAAGAUUUCAUAAAAUGUACAUGGAAUUAAUUUUCCAGGCAUUUCAUUCAAGGGCCCUGAUGUAUCUGAAGGAGAGAUUUUGCCAAAAGGAGUUUUAAUGUAACCAUAGGAAAGAGAGAAACAGCCAGAAAAGAAGGUUAGGGAAGUAAGCAAACCCCUGAAGCACAAAGAAGAGAAGAAAUGGCAAGGAGGAAAAAAAGAAGAGGAGGCAAAGAAAUUAAUGUUAAAGAUGGAGCAAAAAUAAGAAAAAAAAAAACAUUCUAUGAGAGGGAAGAAGAAAAAGGAAAAAGAGUGGAAGCAAGAGUUGGAGGAAUGAAGAAUCUUGCUAGAGAGAAAAAAAAAUGUUAUUUCCUAAUAGUUUCUAUUAGGACAUUUGCUUAAACAGAUCAAUAUCUCGGACUCUGUCACUUCAAAGUAUAUUUUACAUGAGAUCAGUGAAUUUUAUGGUCUAUAAAUAUAAACAAAUUACAGUUUAAAAAGCAUAUUUAAAAAUAUUUUAAAUAUUACUGUUGUGAAUUUUUUAAUAAACAACUUCCACUGGCCACAUAUUGUGUGUUUAUAGACACUAUAAGGUUAAAACCUGAAACUAUGAUGUUUGAACUUCCUAAUGCACAGCUGCUGAG